rnacentral:rRNA from 1 species
GCUAAUACCGCAUAACGUCGCAAGACCAAAGAGGGGGACCUUCGGGCCUCUUGCCAUCAGAUGUGCCCAGAUGGGAUUAGCUUGUUGGUGAGGUAACGGCUCACCAAGGCGACGAUCCCUAGCUGGUCUGAGAGGAUGACCAGCCACACUGGAACUGAGACACGGUCCAGACUCCUACGGGAGGCAGCAGUGGGGAAUAUUGCACAAUGGGCGCAAGCCUGAUGCAGCCAUGCCGCGUGUAUGAAGAAGGCCUUCGGGUUGUAAAGUACUUUCAGCGGGGAGGAAGGUGUUGUGGUUAAUAACCGCAGCAAUUGACGUUACCCGCAGAAGAAGCACCGGCUAACUCCGUGCCAGCAGCCGCGGUAAUACGGAGGGUGCAAGCGUUAAUCGGAAUUACUGGGCGUAAAGCGCACGCAGGCGGUCUGUCAAGUCGGAUGUGAAAUCCCCGGGCUCAACCUGGGAACUGCAUUCGAAACUGGCAGGCUUGAGUCUUGUAGAGGGGGGUAGAAUUCCAGGUGUAGCGGUGAAAUGCGUAGAGAUCUGGAGGAAUACCGGUGGCGAAGGCGGCCCCCUGGACAAAGACUGACGCUCAGGUGCGAAAGCGUGGGGAGCAAACAGGAUUAGAUACCCUGGUAGUCCACGCCGUAAACGAUGUCUACUUGGAGGUUGUGCCCUUGAGGCGUGGCUUCCGGAGCUAACGCGUUAAGUAGACCGCCUGGGGAGUACGGCCGCAAGGUUAAAACUCAAAUGAAUUGACGGGGGCCCGCACAAGCGGUGGAGCAUGUGGUUUAAUUCGAUGCAACGCGAAGAACCUUACCUGGUCUUGACAUCCACAGAACAUUCCAGAGAUGGAUUGGUGCCUUCGGGAACUGUGAGACAGGUGCUGCAUGGCUGUCGUCAGCUCGUGUUGUGAAAUGUUGGGUUAAGUCCCGCAACGAGCGCAACCCUUAUCCUUUGUUGCCAGCGGUCCGGCCGGGAACUCAAAGGAGACUGCCAGUGAUAAACUGGAGGAAGGUGGGGAUGACGUCAAGUCAUCAUGGCCCUUACGACCAGGGCUACACACGUGCUACAAUGGCGCAUACAAAGAGAAGCGACCUCGCGAGAGCAAGCGGACCUCAUAAAGUGCGUCGUAGUCCGGAUUGGAGUCUGCAACUCGACUCCAUGAAGUCGGAAUCGCUAGUAAUCGUGGAUCAGAAUGCCACGGUGAAUACGUUCCCGGGCCUUGUACACACCGCCCGUCACACCAUGGGAGUGGGUUGCAAAAGAAGUAGGUAGCUUAACCUUCGGGAGGGCGCUUACCACUUUGUGAUUCAUGACUGGGGUGAAGUCGUAACAAGGUAACCGUAGGGGAACCUGC